UUUUUUUUUUUUUUUUUUUGUGUUUUGUUAUUUAUUUUGUAUUUAUUAUAUUUGGCAAACAUUGUUCUAGGGUUCAGUGAAUUAUAACAUAAUAUUAUUAAUGUUGUAUACCAUAUAAAUAUAUUUUGUAAUUUUCAUUUAAAUGUACUGGGUAAAAGAAGAAAGUGUAUGUAUUGUAAGAUAAGAAUGUCAUCACAUCAAUUUUUAUCAUUAAGUAAGGAAAUGUUGGAAAUAAUGCAGUUUUAACCUUUGAAUGGUGUUAUUUAUGAAAAUGCUUAUCAAUAAUAUAUAAUACUCUGACUGGUUUUCGAUAAAUUACAGAUUUUAGUUUGUAUUAUCUACUAAAAUGACUAUACCUAACUAAACUUUGUUAAAAAUUACUUGAAGUAACUACGAAUAAUAAUUGGACAUUAUAGUAGUACAAAUUUACUUGUGCGUGUUCUUUAAAACUCCGUAUUGAUAUGUAAUAUAAAUAUAACGUUAUUAAUUAUUAUAAAUAAUUUUUGUUACCUAUCUAUACAAUAUAUACAAUACAUACUAUCUCUACAAUACAAAUAACUAUCAAACUAAAUAACAAUUUUUAUGAUAAUAUGAUAACAAAUUUCAAAUGAUUUUCCAACAUUUCCAGUAUAUAAUUCUUAACAGUUAUGUACUGUCUCUGAACAAUGUCA